AAAUAGGAGGACACUGAGCCACUUGCACUCACUGGCCACUUUUUUAGCCAGACCUUGCUAGUAUUAGGCUGGACACCCUUUUGCCUUCAGAGCUUCCUUAAAUUGUCAUACCAUAGAUUCAAUAAGGUACUGGAAAAAUUCCUAAGAGAUUUUGGUCCACAUUGACAUGACAGCAUCACACAGGUACUGCAGACUCAUCGGCUGCACAUCGAGGAUGGGAAUCUCCAAUCCCGCUACAUCGAAAAUAAGCUCUGUUUGAUUGAGACUGUGGGCCAAUUUGAGUACAGGGAACUCAUUGUCAUGUUCAAGAAAUCAGCUUGAGAUGAUUUCAGCUUCGUGACACAGUGCGUUAUCCUGCUGGAAGCAGCCGUCAGAACACAGGUGCACAUGGACAGCAGCAAUACUCAGGUAGGCUGUGGUGGUUAAAUCAUGCCAAGUUGGUACUAAUAAGUCCAAAGUAUGCCAAGAAAAUGUCCCCACCCCAUUACAUCACCAGCAGCAGGCUGAGCUGUGGCAACAUAGUCAAGAGUCAUGAGACUAGGCAAUGAGUUCACAAUCUUCUAUUGUCCAAUUUUGAUGAGCUGACAGGAGUGGCACCCGAUGUGGUCUUCUGCUUCUGCAACCCACCUGCUUCAAGGUUCAAAAUGUUAUAUAUUCAGAGAUGCUCUUCUCAAAACCUGGGUUAUAACAACUGGCUAUUUGAGCCACUGUAACAUUCUGGAGCAUUGUAACGCUCGGUGUGAACUUCAGCAAAUCAUCUUGACCAUGCCUGCAUACCGCACAGCACUGACUUGUCAUGAGAUUGGCUAAAUAAGAUAGUUGCACUAACAACAUUACAGUUUGGUACGGAAGCUACUCUGCCAGAAGCCAUAAAUCACUACAGAGGGUGGUGAAAGCAGCAGACCACAUCACUGGCAUGAGGCUUCCUACCACUAAGGACAUUUAUCUUCAACGAUGCCUCAGAAAAGCACACAGCAUCAUCAGGGACCACAGCCACCCAGCACGUCAGCUGUUCUCCUUGUUACCAUCUGGCAGCUGUUACAGGAGUCUGUAUGCUCGGACAACAACACUCAAAAAUAGUUUUUACCAUCAAGCCAUUCAACACCUCAACUACAACACUUUAACACGCACACACUUCACAGGAUGCACACAGAAGCGGUCCUACAGUUUCACAAGCACAUACUACACUCUGCACUGGCCACUCCAUUUUUAUUAGUAAUUAAAUAAAAAUAAAAACCCUUACUCCGUGCAACACUGUACUAACUGCCACUCUAAAAUCUUGUACUGCUCAGUUUGUACUGCUGCUCACUCCUGCCACCACCCCCCCGGGUCCAAUAUCCUAUUUGCGGAUUGACUUUUCUUCUGCUCGUCAAACACAUUUCAUUGCAAUGUUGACCCUGUGCUAACUGUGGCAGAUAAAAAAUAAAUAAAUAAAACUGAACAUGACUGUCUGGAACAGAAAACGCAUUGUGUAGUACUAUUAGAUGUACUUGUAUGACCUGUGUGUGUAAAUGAUUCAAAGUGGUCCUCGGACACUUCGAUUUUUUAUUCUAGCAGCUGCAGCGCCCCUAGUGUUUGAGAGUCGCCUAAAGAUUUAAUAUACACAUUUAAUUCAACGGCACAUGGAAAGCUGUUACAAGGGCCACAAGUAUAACAAUAUGAUUGAAAAAAAAACAAAAAACAAAAACAGGGCACCCUUUGAGGCUAACAGAACAUAUCAAUUGUUCUUGCAGCCAUACUUUAAAAAAAGUAUCCUUGAAUCUAUUUUUGCUGUUGGUGGCCAUCAAAGACAGACAAUGACUUCACACCAUUAAAAAAAAAAAAAAAAAGCCUUAGACAGUUCAACUAUCUGCACACACGGAGCUCCAGGGCUCUAAUAGAUAUUGGUCAGCAGGCGGUGAGUUCAUACACGUUUUUCUCAGAAAAUAACCUGCUCCGGAGCAAAUUACCUUCUAACGUUUAAAUCUGAGUGCAAAACACUUCUUUAGGCUACGUCUACUCUAAGUUUCAUUUUCGUCAAAAAACGCUCCGCGUCCACACUAUCGUUUUCCAACAUUUCCGAAGAGUUGUUCAUCCACACUGAAACGACUGAAAACGCUUACGUUCCUGUACUGCGCAUGCGUGAAAUGUAAGAUGAUUCGAUCUGCGUCAUUUCUGUCUGCCGUUUAUUUCCAAUGCUUUGAAACAUCGUGGCAUAAUGUCGAGGAAAAGCACAGAGCUUUUUUUAAAUGAGAGGUGGAGUUGUUGCUGCGAGUAACACAAGAGUACAAAGUUGCAAAAGCGAGGGAGAAUCGAAGAAUAGCCAUCUGGAAAAAGUACAAACUGAUGUUAAUCUUUAAUAGGGCUGCCAAAAUUGAAGCAAAUGAAACAAUUGCUGUACAAUGCCGUCCACCAUCUUAGUUGAAUUGGUCACAUGACUGCAUCAUAAUUAAAAAUGCGUCAUCGCUUUCAAAAGCCUUUGUUUUUUCAGUCCACACUGCGAUGAAAAAAAACAAAACAAAACAGUGUUUUCAAAUUUAUCCACUUUGGAGAGCGUUUUCAAAAAGCUCUGUUUUCAUUAACCAAAAACACCAUCUCAGUGCGGACGGAAGGCCAAAACCGAGAGAAAGAGAUGUGUUUUCAAACAAAAACGUAUUAGUGUUGACAUGGCCUUAAUCUAGCCUCCAAGUGUCCAGACCUGCGUCAGCCACUCAUUUGUAGUUCAGGUAGUAUUUGUAUUCAAGUGGAUUAUUUAUACUUCACUGCUGUUGCUACAAAAAAGAAACAGGUGUGUUGGAUACACAUCUGUACCAUGAACUAGUGAUGGGUCGGUUGUGAACGAAGCGGCUCUUAGGGACGGCUCUUUGAAGUGAACGACAGGAGCCGGCUCCUUGUUGGGAGUAGUGGGAGGUGUUCUCCCUCUUUCUCUCACCCUCUCUCUCGCCGCAUGUGAGCCUUGUGUUACGCUGAGCAGAGGGGGGGGGUAGGGUGCAAAAAACCUUGUGUUUGUGCUGAGCAAAGGGGGAAGGGGCUGAGGGAAGAAGAGGAGGUUACACUUGCAGCAGCAGUUACACAUGAACAGAGCAGGAAGGUGAGAGAGAAAGUGAGCAGGGGACAACAACAAGAGACAAAAUCAACACAGUCAUCUCUACCCUGGCAGUUAAAAUGCACCGGUUGACCCUCUGAGCCAAGAGGAAUGGGAGGUACUACAGGAGAACUGUCCAGUUCCGCAGAAUGGAAUAUAACACCGUUUUCUCUGAAACCACCACUCUUGAUCCAAGAUUCAAGAAGCUGGUCUUUUAACAGAGCGGUGGAUGAAGCUCUUAAGAGAAUAACUGCAGCAGAAAGAUCCAGCCAACCAACUCCACUGCCAGGGGACCAAGAUUGAGAAGAGCCAGAAGAGGGUGAACAAAAGGAGCAACAAGCAUCUGCUGUUUGGAGGUUCUUUGAGCAAGUAGAGACACUAUCAGAAGGAAUCCCUCACCAGAUGUAGUACUGGAAGUGAGAUACUACAUUGACGAGCCCCUUUGCCAGAGAAGUGCAGACCCACUGAGCUGAAACUGCCAUGUACCCCCUCCUCCUAACCUCACAGACAAACUCCCAUCCUGUCACAUCUCUACUCUUAAGCACGCAUCCUUAUGUGCUGUCGCAAAAUCAAUCAAAAUGCAGAGCAGUGAAACAAACCACGGAGGCCCCAGAAGACUGCAAUCAAACGUAUAUAUCACCUGGACAGUCGCACCAGUGAAGCUUAAGACCCUUUUGGAUGGAACAUCAACUCCAAAUAAGCACAAAUAUGCAAAGUGUAUAGAAUGAUCAUAACUAAACCUGUAAAUAGAAAAGGUCAAUGUGAUGACAAACAUCUUCAAUACAAUAUGAACCCUGUAAGAAAUAUUACUAAUAGAAUAAUGCUGUAAAAUAUGUUAUUAAUGCAAUUAUAAUAAUGCAGGUUAUAUGGCAGCAAUAAAAGAAUUUCUGUAUCUCCACAGUGCCUAUUAUUCUACUCUAUGUGAGAACAAAGUAAUGGUGCUCGAUCUAAUACUUUAUCUGACUCCUACAUGCUUCCCUUUACAUUGUUUGUUUGUGUGUGUGUGUGUGUGUGUGUGUGUGUGUGUGUGUGUGAAUCUCCACAUAAACAAAAUGAAGAGUAAGUUGUCAUGAGAGUGAGUCAUGCUGAGAGUCACUGCUCACCUAAUGCGGAGUUUUUAAUGGUCGAAUGCAGACCGUAUUAUCUCCCCAGAGAACUCACUUCUAUCAUACUCACUGCAGUGUAUAUCCCCCCUGAUGCUAAUGCUAGGUUGGCCAUGAAAGAACUUUCUGCAGCCAUUAACAAACACCAGAAUAAACACCCCGA